CAGCGUGCCCUCACGCGUCUGCGCUUCGGCGCCGGCGUCAUCAUCCAGCCCCCCAUGUUUCUGCUGCCCGAGGUUUCUGUGAGAAAGGCGGCGGGGGAGCGCUGCCAAAGGUUUUCCCCUUCCCUUCCUCAGCAUAAUCGCCCCGUCUCCGCUGGGGAUUUGGUGGCGAAAGGAAUGCGUGGGAAGAGCCGGAGGGCUUGGGAUUUGGCUUGUGGCGAAGCGCAAGUUGUUAAUGGGAAAAUCUCCUCGUGGGCUGCCGUGUCGCAGCCUGCCCCCGCGCAGCAGAGCGAAACUCCCCAGCCGAAAAGCCGCCUUUCGCCCAGGUGUGCGUCACCGCUGCCUGGCGCCUCGGGAGGGGACGCGCGGGGCGGCUUCGGGCAGGGCGAGAGCGGGAAGGCUGCCGCCGCGACGCCGCCUCCCGGGGCGGAAAGGGUUAAACUGCUCGGCUGGAGAAUGAGCUGAAGAUCAAGCCCGCAGCCUGGUGACCUCCAGCUGCUGCGAGAGCGAGCGGCAGCCGGAGCCGAAGAGCGAAGAGCGGCGUGUCGGCGGCGCUGCCUGCGGGGAGGCAGCAGCGGGCAGCGGUGCCAGUUCCCUCUGAACUCCUUCCUCUACUCCUUAAAAGCCUAGAAAAAUAGACAAACUUUUAUUCUGAACAACCAGUCGGACUGUUUUAGACAAAAAAAAUGAGGUGAGUUCUGCAAUGAGACACACUCGCAGAGCAUGUCCUGUCGUCGCUCUUCCAGCACGUGCUGUCCGGGUUUCCGUGUGGUCGUCUCCACCGAUCGCAGCUGCCGCAGGAUGGCAAAAAGCACGAGCAGCCUUCCUCCAGGGCGGUUCAGCCUUCCUCCGGGGCGGUUCAGCCUUCCUCCAGGGCGGUUCAGCCCGCGUCAAACCCGGGACGCUGGAUUCCAGCUGAGAGGCUCUCUGGGCUCCAAAGCAACAGCAGAAUUGUAUGUUCUGGCAAAACACUGCCUCUGCCAGAUGGAUGGCUGCUUUUGGCACCAUUUUCAGCUCCUGGAUACAUCUAUAAUGCAGCGAGGCCGCUACAUUUGAAAGAAAAACUGUAUUCUUCCAAGCACGUAGAGAUGGAAGAAAUGUCCCAGUCAAGUCAAAACUGCUACUAGAAGCAACUGCUGCCUAAACAGACUUUCAAAUGAUGAAUUUCAGUACAAAUUCCAGGCAAAAUCUUACAAUAUCCAGCGUAUUUCUGGUGAUUUCUCAGCCUAAAGACACCCCUCUGUCCGAUUUGGAUCGAACUGCUGCUGUGUGCUCUCCUACUGCUGCCUUUAUCCAGCCCUGGAAACACAAGCAGGAGGAAAAAGAAGCUGGAAAAACUCAGAACAAGCUGCAUCAAAUGUCCUAGCUGGCAUUUCUGUAACGCAGCACUUCUUCGCCUUCCAUGUAGUUGCUGGGUAGGGGAAAAAAGAAAAGCCUGGUGAUGCAAUCCAUUGAAUUCAUGCUUUGACUUGAACAACUUGUCUUGGUUUUGCCUCACUUGGUAGAGAGCGUGGUAGUGAAAGAAGAGGCUGAAUGACUGCUCCAUCAAUAGCGGUGCAAAUACUUCUAUUGUCUUUUAAAACUCGGUAAAUAAUCUGCCAGGAGGAGGAAAUGUGUGGUAUGUUUGGAAAGCUUCGACGUGCAAGAGCCGGCACCGCUCCCCGGGCCCGGGACGGGGCUGGCCACCUGCCGUCACGCUCGCGAGGGGCAGCGGCCACGGGAAGCCUGGGAAGCUGUCGGCCUUCGUGGCUUCGGAGAAACUGCGCUCCUAACUACGUGGAGCCCCAGUGGUAACGUCACUGGAUGCACACGUACGUCCCCGCGGCGGUGUCAGGAUUAGCAGCCUUGGUGUUUUGAAUAUGCUGUAAUUUUUAAUGGCCUUUGUGGCACCCGGCUUUUGUUGCAAAGGACAAUGCUGUCCUGUGUUUGGAUGAGAGUAUUACAUGCCAAAAACUUAUAAAUAUUUAAAAUAUCCUGAUACAUUUCUAAAGCUAACCGGGUGCUAUAGUCCCUGGCCUAGCUGAGCUUUUCCGAGCUGUUGCCCUGGCAGCUCCCGGGUACAGCCCUUACGGCACAGCGGGUCUGACAGAGCCUUUGCAAAGGAUGAAGGCACCUUGCUGGCUUUUCACAGCACAUGUCUGCUGAGAUGUAAGGCAUCCUCAAAGCCAUUUGUGUCGCAUUAGUUGUAGUGUGGGAAAACUCAGCGUUCCUCGUGUAUUCACACUGCUGAAAUCUUUAAAAUUAGCCGUUUCUAAUUGCAGAGAUCAGCAGAGGAGCGGUAACUCACACCCUAGCCAUGGUGGAGAAAAGCCCUCUACCUGCGAAGCCCCGAUCCAGACUGAUCGGCCACCACCGAUUCCCGCUCUAAUAAAACCAUGCAACGUCAGAUUAACA